rnacentral:rRNA from 1 species
ACUCCUGCGGGAGGCAGCAGUGGGGAAUAUUGCACAAUGGGCGCAAGCCUGAUGCAGCCAUGCCGCGUGUAUGAAGAAGGCCUUCGGGUUGUAAAGUACUUUCAGCGGGGAGGAAGGCAAUACGGUUAAUAACCGUGUUGAUUGACGUUACCCGCAGAAGAAGCACCGGCUAACUCCGUGCCAGCAGCCGCGGUAAUACGGAGGGUGCAAGCGUUAAUCGGAAUUACUGGGCGUAAAGCGCACGCAGGCGGUCUGUCAAGUCGGAUGUGAAAUCCCCGGGCUCAACCUGGGAACUGCAUUCGAAACUGGCAGGCUUGAGUCUUGUAGAGGGGGGUAGAAUUCCAGGUGUAGCGGUGAAAUGCGUAGAGAUCUGGAGGAAUACCGGUGGCGAAGGCGGCCCCCUGGACAAAGACUGACGCUCAGGUGCGAAAGCGUGGGGAGCAAACAGGAUUAGAAACCCUGGUAGUCCCA